rnacentral:rRNA from 1 species
UACGGGGGGGGCAAGCGUUGUUCGGAAUUACUGGGCGUAAAGGGCUCGUAGGCGGCCAACUAAGUCGGACGUGAAAUCCCCAGGCUCAACCUGGGAACUGCGUUCGAUACUGGAUGGCUUGAAUCCGGGAGAGGGAUGCAGAAUUCCAGGUGUAGCGGUGAAAUGCGUAGAUAUCUGGAGGAACACCGGUGGCGAAGGCGACAGCCUGGACCGGUAUUGACGCUGAGGCGCGAAAGCCAGGGGAGCAAACAGG